rnacentral:rRNA from 1 species
GUGUGACUGCGUACCUUUUGUAUAAUGGGUCAGCGACUUAUAUUCUGUAGCAAGGUUAACCGAAUAGGGGAGCCGAAGGGAAACCGAGUCUUAACUGGGCGUUAAGUUGCAGGGUAUAGACCCGAAACCCGGUGAUCUAGCCAUGGGCAGGUUGAAGGUUGGGUAACACUAACUGGAGGACCGAACCGACUAAUGUUGAAAAAUUAGCGGAUGACUUGUGGCUGGGGGUGAAAGGCCAAUCAAACCGGGAGAUAGCUGGUUCUCCCCGAAAGCUAUUUAGGUAGCGCCUCGUGAAUUCAUCUCCGGGGGUAGAGCACUGUUUCGGCAAGGGGGUCAUCCCGACUUACCAACCCGAUGCAAACUGCGAAUACCGGAGAAUGUUAUCACGGGAGACACACGGCGGGUGCUAACGUCCGUCGUGAAGAGGGAAACAACCCAGACCGCCAGCUAAGGUCCCAAAGUCAUGGUUAAGUGGGAAACGAUGUGGGAAGGCCCAGACAGCCAGGAUGUUGGCUUAGAAGCAGCCAUCAUUUAAAGAAAGCGUAAUAGCUCACUGGUCGAGUCGGCCUGCGCGGAAGAUGUAACGGGGCUAAACCAUGCACCGAAGCUGCGGCAGCGACGCUUAUGCGUUGUUGGGUAGGGGAGCGUUCUGUAAGCCUGCGAAGGUGUGCUGUGAGGCAUGCUGGAGGUAUCAGAAGUGCGAAUGCUGACAUAAGUAACGAUAAAGCGGGUGAAAAGCCCGCUCGCCGGAAGACCAAGGGUUCCUGUCCAACGUUAAUCGGGGCAGGGUGAGUCGACCCCUAAGGCGAGGCCGAAAGGCGUAGUCGAUGGGAAACAGGUUAAUAUUCCUGUACUUGGUGUUACUGCGAAGGGGGGACGGAGAAGGCUAUGUUGGCCGGGCGACGGUUGUCCCGGUUUAAGCGUGUAGGCUGGUUUUCCAGGCAAAUCCGGAAAAUCAAGGCUGAGGCGUGAUGACGAGGCACUACGGUGCUGAAGCAACAAAUGCCCUGCUUCCAGGAAAAGCCUCUAAGCAUCAGGUAACAUCAAAUCGUACCCCAAACCGACACAGGUGGUCAGGUAGAGAAUACCAAGGCGCUUGAGAGAACUCGGGUGAAGGAACUAGGCAAAAUGGUGCCGUAACUUCGGGAGAAGGCACGCUGAUAUGUAGGUGAAGUCCCUCGCGGAUGGAGCUGAAAUCAGUCGAAGAUACCAGCUGGCUGCAACUGUUUAUUAAAAACACAGCACUGUGCAAACACGAAAGUGGACGUAUACGGUGUGACGCCUGCCCGGUGCCGGAAGGUUAAUUGAUGGGGUNAGCGCAAGCGAAGCUCUUGAUCGAAGCCCCGGUAAACGGCGGCCGUAACUAUAACGGUCCUAAGGUAGCGAAAUUCCUUGUCGGGUAAGUUCCGACCUGCACGAAUGGCGUAAUGAUGGCCAGGCUGUCUCCACCCGAGACUCAGUGAAAUUGAACUCGCUGUGAAGAUGCAGUGUACCCGCGGCAAGACGGAAAGACCCCGUGAACCUUUACUAUAGCUUGACACUGAACAUUGAGCCUUGAUGUGUAGGAUAGGUGGGAGGCUUUGAAGUGUGGACGCCAGUCUGCAUGGAGCCGACCUUGAAAUACCACCCUUUAAUGUUUGAUGUUCUAACGUUGACCCGUGAUCCGGGUUGCGGACAGUGUCUGGUGGGUAGUUUGACUGGGGCGGUCUCCUCCUAAAGAGUAACGGAGGAGCACGAAGGUUGGCUAAUCCUGGUCGGACAUCAGGAGGUUAGUGCAAUGGCAUAAGCCAGCUUGACUGCGAGCGUGACGGCGCGAGCAGGUGCGAAAGCAGGUCAUAGUGAUCCGGUGGUUCUGAAUGGAAGGGCCAUCGCUCAACGGAUAAAAGGUACUCCGGGGAUAACAGGCUGAUACCGCCCAAGAGUUCAUAUCGACGGCGGUGUUUGGCACCUCGAUGUCGGCUCAUCACAUCCUGGGGCUGAAGUAGGUCCCAAGGGUAUGGCUGUUCGCCAUUUAAAGUGGUACGCGAGCUGGGUUUAGAACGUCGUGAGACAGUUCGGUCCCUAUCUGCCGUGGGCGCUGGAGAACUGAGGGGGGCUGCUCCUAGUACGAGAGGACCGGAGUGGACGCAUCACUGGUGUUCGGGUUGUCAUGCCAAUGGCACUGCCCGGUAGCUAAAUGCGGAAGAGAUAAGUGCUGAAAGCAUCUAAGCACGAAACUUGCCCCGAGAUGAGUUCUCCCUGACUCCUUGAGAGUCCUGAAGGAACGUUGAAGACGACGACGUUGAUAGGCCGGGUGUGUAAGCGCAGCGAUGCGUUGAGCUAACCGGUACUAAUGAACCGUGAGGCUUAACCUU